GUGCUUGCUUCAGCAACACAUAUACUAAAAUUGGAACGAUACUUGGAAGGUUCACAUGGCCCUUUCACAAGGAUGACACAGAAAUUCAUGAAGUUUGAGAGAGAGAG